rnacentral:rRNA from 1 species
UACGUAGGGUGCGAGCGUUAAUCGGAAUUACUGGGCGUAAAGCGUGCGCAGGCGGUUCGCUAAGACCGAUGUGAAAUCCCCGGGCUUAACCUGGGAACUGCAUUGGUGACUGGCGGGCUAGAGUAUGGCAGAGGGGGGUAGAAUUCCACGUGUAGCAGUGAAAUGCGUAGAUAUUCGGAGGAACACCAGUGGCGAAAGCGACUUUCUGGGACAUUCCUGACGCUGAGGUUCGAAAGCUCGGGGAGCAAACAGG